rnacentral:rRNA from 1 species
UACGUAGGGUGCAAGCGUUAAUCGGAAUUACUGGGCGUAAAGCGUGCGCAGGCGGUUUUGUAAGUCAGAUGUGAAAUCCCCGGGCUUAACCUGGGAACUGCGUUUGAAACUACAAGGCUAGAGUGUGGCAGAGGGGGGUGGAAUUCCACGUGUAGCAGUGAAAUGCGCAGAUAUCGGGAGGAACACCGGUGGCGAAGGCGGUUCUCUGGGCCUG